GGAUUCCCCUAGUAACGGCGAGUGAAGAGGGAAGAGCUCAAAUUUUGAAUCUGGCGUCUUUGGCGUCCGAAUUGUAAUCUAGAGAAGUGUUUUCCGUGAUGGACCGUGCACAAGUCUCCUGGAAUGGAGCGUCAUAGAGGGUGAGAAUCCCGUAUAUGGCACGGACUACCGUUACUCUGUGAUACACUCUCAACGAGUCGAGUUGUUUGGGAAUGCAGCUCUAAAUGGGUGGUAAAUGCCAUCUAAAGCUAAAUAUUGGCGAGAGACCGAUAGCGAACAAGUACCGUGAGGGAAAGAUGAAAAGCACUUUGGAAAGAGAGUGAAACAGUACGUGAAAUUGUUGAAAGGGAAACGCUUGAAGUCAGUCGCACCGUUCAGGAUUCAGCCUUGCUUCUGCUUGGUUUACUUCCUGUUCAGUGGGUCAACAUCAGUUUUGGUCGGAGGAGAAAGGCUUGGGGAACGUGGCAGCAUUCGUGCUGUGUUAUAGCCCCUUGUUGUAUACUUCGACUGGGACUGAGGACCGCAGCACGCCUUUGGCCGGGGUUCGCCCACGUACGUGCUUAGGAUGUUGGCAUAAUGGCUUUAAGCGACCCGUCUUGAAACACGGACCAAGGAGUCUAACAUGUGCGCGAGUGUUUGGGUGUUAAACUCGGACGCG
rnacentral:rRNA from 1 species